UGGGGAAUUUUCCACAAUGGACGAAAGUCUGAUGGAGCAAUCUCGCGUGAGGGACGACGGUCUUUGGAUUGUAAACCUCUGUGAUAUGAGAAGAAAAACUACGAUAGGAAAUGAUCGUAAAUUGACGUUAUCAUAUUAGAAAGUCACGGCAAACUAUGUGCCAGCAGCCGCGGUAAUACAUAGGUGGCAAGCGUUAUCCGGAUUUAUUGGGCGUAAAGAGUGCACAGGUUGUUUUGUAAGUUUGAUGUAUAAUCCUGCAGCUUAACUGUAGUAGGCAUCGAAAACUGCAAGACUAGAAUCUUGGAGGGGUUAGUGGAAUUUCAUGUGUAGCGGUGGAAUGCUUAAAUAUAUGAAGGAACACCAAUGGCGAAGGCAGCUAACUGGACAAAGAUUGACGCUU
rnacentral:rRNA from 1 species